rnacentral:rRNA from 1 species
GAUCAUGGCUCAGGAUGAACGCUAGCGGCAGGCUUAACACAUGCAAGGUCGAGGGGCAGCGGGGUGUAGCGAAUACACUGCCGGCGACCGGCGGCACGGGGUGCGUAACGCGUAUGCAACCUACCCGAUAACAGGGGCAUAACACUGAGAAAUUGGUACUAAUUCCCCAUAACAUUCGAAGAGGCAUCUCUUUGGGUUGAAAACUCCGGUGGUUAUGGAUGGGCAUGCGUUGUAUUAGCUAGUUGG